AACGCGAAGAACCUUACCUGGGCUCGAAGCGCAGUGGACCGCGGUAGAAAUACCGUUUACCCGCAAGAACUGCUCUAUAGGUGCUGCAUGGCUGUCGUCAGCUCGUGUCGUGAGAUGUUGGGUUAAGUCCCGCAACGAGCGCAACCCUUAUCGUUAGUUGCCAGCGGGUUAUGCCGGGCACUCUAGCGAAACCGCCUCGGAUAACGGGGAGGAAGGUGGGGAUGACGUCAAGUCCUCAUGGCCUUUAUGUCCAGGGCUACACACGUGCUACAAUGGCCGGUACAAACUGUCGCAAACCCGCGAGGGGGAGCUAAUCGGAAAAAGCCGGCCUCAGUUCGGAUUGGAGUCUGCAAUUCGACUCCAUGAAGCUGGAAUCGCUAGUAAUCGCGGAUCAGAACGCCGCGGUGAAUACGUUCCCGGGCCUUGUACACACCGCAUAC
rnacentral:rRNA from 1 species